AGGUAAGAGAGACAGAGGCAGCACUGUUCCUCAGGAAGAGGCUUCAUUUGCAGUCAAAGGACCUGAGUUUGCAUUCUGAACCUGUGACUCACGACUCGUGUGGCCUCAAGCAAGUCAGUGAACCCUGUGGGUCUGUUUUCUCAUCUGCAAAAUGAGGAGGUUAAAUGAAGUGACAUCUAACAGCGCUAAAUCUAUAAUCCUACAAUGAAUGCGGCAGGCAGAACAUGGCAACAGAGCAUCAAGUCUUUGAGCUGUCAGAGGCACAAGAAGUAGCAUCUGAGGAGUCUCGUAUGGAGGAUACAACCUAUAGAAACUGGAGUAUGGAGGGCUCCUGUCCCUGGGAGGACUGGUGAAGGGGCACAACAUUGUGCAUUUCAAGUGGUCAGAAGAGCAAGCCUCAGAAGUUCAGUAAAUACUUAUGCCAGGAUUUACCAGAGGCUGAGCAUGGAUGAGGGAGUUAGCCAAGAAUCAGGAUUCCAGUCUCAGACCUUCCCACAACCCAUCUGUGUGUGACUUGGAGCCAGUCCUUUUAUCUCUCUGGGCCCUGGUUUUCUCAUCUAUCAAAAAUGAGGCCAUUGGACCGGAUUUCUAAGGACAGAAAGAGUGCGAGUAACCUAUGAGCGAAUCAAGCAUGCCAGUGCUAGCCUUUCCCCAGACUUGGAUGAACCGUUGCAGAGCAAAGGGAGCAGAAUCAGAAGUGUCUAUGAGCAACAUCACUAAAGACAAGACACUUUGAAAGACUGAAGAACUGAUCAAAGCAGGGACCAGCCCUGAUUCCAAAGGAACCAUGGUGAAGAAAGAUACCCCUGAUAGAAGCAGCAAGAUGCAGAAUGAUGGGUACAUGUUUAGGUGUGGUCAAUGUGGGAAUGUGUCUUUCUUGACUAUGUAAAUU